rnacentral:rRNA from 1 species
CGGGAUAACACCUGGAAACAGAUGCUAAUACCGGAUAACAAUAGAUGAUGCCUAUCAACUGUUUAAAAGAUGGUUCUGCUAUCACUCUUGGAUGGACCUGCGGUGCAUUAGCUAGUUGGUAGGGUAACGGCCUACCAAGGCGAUGAUGCAUAGCCGAGUUGAGAGACUGAUCGGCCACAUUGGGACUGAGACACGGCCCAAACUCCUACGGGAGGCAGCAGUG